rnacentral:lncRNA from 1 species
UGAUAUGUUCAUCCUAACCGAUGACAGGUAUCCUCCUUGACAUUUUCAGGCAAGUCUAUCCUUGAUAUGUUCAUCCUAACCGAUGACGGAUUUUCUUCCCUGUUGAGUUUAUCCUUGAUAUGUUCAUCCUAACCGAUGACGGAUACUCUCUCCCUUGGUCUUCUGCCCAGUAACUAGUAGUUGUAAAUCCUAUUUUCUGUAGUUUUUCCCAACAAGGUUAUUCUUACUCAGUAACCGGUAAUGAAUUUCCUCUCCUGGAAUCCUCAGCGAGUCAUCC